rnacentral:rRNA from 1 species
AAAGUUAGAGGUUCGAAGGCGAUCAGAUACCGCCCUAGUUCUAACCAUAAACGAUGCCAGCCAGCGAUCCGGCUGUGUUCCUCAAAUGACACGCCGGGCAGCUUCCGGGAAACCAAAGCCUUUGGGUUCCGGGGGAAGUAUGGUUGCAAAGCUGAAACUUAAAGGAAUUGACGGAAGGGCACCACCAGGAGUGGAGCAUGCGGCUUAAUUUGACUCAACACGGGGAAACUAACUCGGCCCGGACGCAGGAAGGAUUGACAGAUUAAGAGCUCUUUCUUGAUUCUGCGGGUUGUGGUGCAUGGCCGUUCUUCGAUGGUGGAGCGAUUUGUCUGGUUAAUUCCGAUAACGAUCGAGACUCUAGCCUACUAAAUAGACGCCCCGGUCCUACACGCCGGGCGGUCUUCUUAGAGGGACAAGCGGCGUCUAGCCGCGCGAGACGGAGCAAUAACAGGUCUGUGAUGCCCUUAGAUGUCCGGGGCCGCACGCGCGCUACAUUGAAGGGGUCAGCGUGUGCUUUCCCGGCYUGACAAGGCUGGGUAACCCGUUGAACCUCCUUCGUGCUUGGGAUCGGCGUUUGUAACUGUCCGCCGUGAACGAGGAACUCCUAGUAAGCGCUGAGUCAUCAGCUCGCGUUGAUUAAGUCCCUGCCCUUUGUUCACACCGCCCGUCGCUACUACCGAUGAAUGAUUUAGUGAGGUCUUCAGACUGGCGCCCGAUGUGGUCUCAGGAUCGUGUCGGUGUGCCGGAAAGAUGUCCGAACUUGACCAUU